rnacentral:rRNA from 1 species
GACGUAGGGUGCGAGCGUUGUCCGGAUUUAUUGGGCGUAAAGAGCGUGUAGGCGGCCAUGCAGGUCCGUUGUGAAAACUCGAGGCUCAACCUCGAGGCGCCGAUGGAAACCGCAUGGCUAGAGUCCGGAAGAGGAGAGUGGAAUUCCUGGUGUAGCGGUGAAAUGCGCAGAUAUCAGGAAGAACACCCGUGGCUAAGGCGGCUCUCUAGUACGGUACUGACGCUGAGACGCGAAAGCGUGGGGAGCGAACAGG